GUUGUUGUAGUAUAGUGGUGAGUAUUCCCAUCUCUCACACGGGUGACCCGAGUUCAAUCCUCAGCAACGGUG